rnacentral:rRNA from 1 species
UGAGGAAUAUUGGUCAAUGGGCGCAAGCCUGAACCAGCCAUCCCGCGUGCAGGAAGACGGCCCUAUGGGUUGUAAACUGCUUUUCCAGGGGGAGAAACUUGCGCACGUGUUGCGCAAUUGACGGUACCCUGGGAAUAAGCAUCGGCUAACUCCGUGCCAGCAGCCGCGGUAAUACGGGGGAUGCGAGCGUUAUACGGAUUCAUUGGGUUUAAAGGGUGCGUAGGCGGACUAUUAAGUCAGUGGUGAAAUCCUGCAGCUUAACUGCAG